AGCCAGGGACUUCAAUGGGAAGGAAGGCAAUUCACAGGUUGGUGAAAAGGAGCAAACAUUUAAAAAACAAGUCUUUGGCCACACAUAAACCGAAGAACAUAUCUGGCAGCCCAACAAACAGGCUUUUCUAGGUUUCUCUCUGUCUACCACCUAAUUUACGUUAUGUUAAGGUGAUAGCUUGCUUCAUGAGACAAAUUUUUUUAUCUGAAUUCUUUUAGGCAGUUAAGGGGUUAGUAACAAGAAAAGAAUUGAGUCUUUUGUUUCUUAAAAAUAAACAGGCUAAAAUAAUCCUCCUGUUGAAGAAAUAUGUCUUUGGGUGACAAAUUCUGUUCCCCUUCAGUACACUCUAUGAUGUUCACACAAGGACGAAAUUGCCUAGCAACAUAUUUCUCAGAAUGUGCCCCUAUUGUGAAGUGGCAUCUACAACUAGCAGUGAGUUUUAUGCUACCAUUUAAUGUUUUUAUGAUGUUAAUUAGUGUCCUUUUAAUUCCACUCAAAGAACUUCCUCUGGCAUUUCUUGUAAGAAUGAUGCUCAUCCUUCUACAAGAAAGGAUCCUGUCCUCCACAAAUCAUUUGUAGAGCUAGGAACUAGAGAUGGGGUCUGUAAUUUGUGGUUCCACACACAUGGAAGGGCACAUCAUAAUCAGAGGGCAAGAGGAUACUUCCUUAGAGGACUACCUACCAUUUAGCAAGAUAAGACUUUCGCUAUAGCUGGAGCUUCUCUGCUUGAAAAGCACCGUUGUAUUCAAUCCAGUGUUAAGAUUGCAUCUUGAGUGACUUCUCUGGACUCAGCCGUUAACCCUCAUCGGAGCUCACCAACUCCAACCUUCUAAUCCAAGGAGUUCACAUUGUAGAUAGCCAUGAUUAUAAUUAAUGAUGGAAAACCCGUGCAAUUUCAGGUAUCAAGAGUGGCUGAACAAAGGAGGACUGACACUCCCAUGUUGAGAAAUCAAUGCCUGUUCAGGAGAAACUAGAGUCUUCUGCCUCUGCACUACUUCAAGCAUAGGCAGCAGCCAGCUCUCAAUUUCUGGCAGAAAGCAUAGGAGGCCCAGGAUUCUCAAUCUUCUGCAGAGGUUGAAGCCACGAGAGAAGACUAGAGACAAGAAAAUGAGUUUCUAUAAAUGGAAAGAAAACAAAGACAUAUAGAAGUCACUAAGUCAAAAAGAGAGAAAGAACAUCCACCGUCAUCUAGGCUCAAAACAUCUACCGUCAAGAGACUUCACUCUUCUGCAGUUAGCCCCAAAACAAUAUAAAUUUUGGAUAAGAUGUAUAACUUCUUUAACAUUCCUUAUGUUCAUCCUUUUAAAAAAUUUUCCACGGUUACCACUGUAAUUCAGAAGUUAACUGUAUUUUGCAGGAGGCGCCUAAUUUUUCUACUUUGCCUAGCCCAGUGAUUCUCAAAGUGUGUUCUACUGUAUGAAAGGAUCAAUGUCGCCCGAGAACUUUAGAAUUGCAACAUUUCUUCUAACUAAAGUUUUUUUUUUGGCUUUCUCUCUUUCAGAACGAUUAAUUUCUAUUGUCUAUAGUCAAAUAAAUAAGUUUAAAUUAUG